CGGCCCACUUUCCUUUGGUGAAUGCAUCCCUCCAGCUGGCAUAAAGCACUGUACAAAGAUCGGUGAAGGGAAAUUUGCCGAGGUCUUCUCAGCUAUAAACCAUUCCAAUGAGACCGUCGCUCUCAAAAUCAUCCCAGUAGAAGGAAGUCAGCAAGUCAACGGUGUACACCAGAAAACAUUUUGUGAAUGAAAUCCUCCAUGAAAUCAUAAUUUCUAAAGAGCUGAGCAGGCUUAACCUAAAGGAGACCAACAAGACCGAUGGUUUCAUUGGGCUCAACAAUGUACAUUGUGUCCGUGGACGUUAUCCUGAAGCUAUGGUCAAAGCCUGGGACAAGUUUUACCGUCGGCAGGGAUCAAAGAAUGACAGACAUGGUAAGCUAAAUGUGUAAACAAUGGACUACUUGCACAACUGCUUCCGCGUUCUACUUAUUACAUGUGUGUCGUGUGAGCGUGUGUGAGAGUUGGCAGUCGUCUCUCACUGAUGUCGUGGCGCUCAUCCAUCAUUUUUAUUCACGCACGACUCAUGUCACGAGACGGUCUGACUAAACAAAAUCACGGUUAACUAACGCAGUAACGCAGGCUAUUUACGGGGAAGUAACGGUAAUCUAAUUACUGUUUUUUCAAUUGUAAUCCCUUACUUUACUCGUUACUAGAAAAAAGUAAUUGGAUUACAGUAACGC